AGAGUUUGAUCCUGGCUCAGAGCGAACGCUGGCGGCAGGCUUAACACAUGCAAGUCGAACGGACGUAGCAAUACGUUAGUGGCAGACGGGUGAGUAACACGUGGGAACGUUCCCCUUGGUUCGGAAUAACUCAGCGAAAGCUGUGCUAAUACCGGAUAAGUCCGAGAGGAGAAAGAUUUAUCGCCGAGGGAUCGGCCCGCGUCUGAUUAGCUAGUUGGUGAGGUAACGGCUCACCAAGGCGACGAUCAGUAGCUGGUCUGAGAGGAUGAUCAGCCACACUGGGACUGAGACACGGCCCAGACUCCUACGGGAGGCAGCAGUGGGGAAUAUUGGACAAUGGGCGCAAGCCUGAUCCAGCCAUGCCGCGUGAGUGAUGAAGGCCUUAGGGUUGUAAAGCUCUUUUAUCCGGGAAGAUAAUGACUGUACCGGAAGAAUAAGCCCCGGCUAACUUCGUGCCAGCAGCCGCGGUAAUACGAAGGGGGCUAGCGUUGCUCGGAAUCACUGGGCGUAAAGGGCGCGUAGGCGGAUGAUUAAGUCGGNGGUGAAAGCCCAGNG
rnacentral:rRNA from 1 species